UGCCAGACUGAUGACUUGCCAAGAGCAUAAUCACUACCACCACCUCAAUGCAUUUGAUUGGUAUAUCUUAAAGCAAUUGACAAUGGAGGAGUUUAAGAAACGUACAUGAUGCGUAGCUGAGCAGCAGGAUCCAGAGGGGUAAUUACACUUGUCCCAUUGGUUCCUUGGAAAAUACUGGGCCUUUGCUGCAGCAUGUUCUCUUGGGUUCUAACAGAAGGAGAAGACCACAGUACUGAAAGGAAAAACAAAACACAUUUACCAGGAUCCAGAGCCCUGUGAAAUUGCAUGGCUGAAUCUAAAUGAGGGGGGAGAUGGCUCCUGUAGACUUCUGGAGUAGAUCCUCUAUGAUGGGAGU